rnacentral:rRNA from 1 species
UACGAAGGGGGCUAGCGUUGCUCGGAAUCACUGGGCGUAAAGGGUGCGUAGGCGGGUCUUUAAGUCAGAGGUGAAAUCCUGGAGCUCAACUCCAGAACUGCCUUUGAUACUGAGGGUCUUGAGUUCGGGAGAGGUGAGUGGAACUGCGAGUGUAGAGGUGAAAUUCGUAGAUAUUGGGAAGAACACCGGUGGCGAAGGCGGCUCUCUGGACCACAACUGACGCUGAGGCGCGAAAGCGUGGGGAGCAAACAGG